rnacentral:misc_RNA from 1 species
AAGUCGUAACAAGGUUUCCGUAGGUGAACCUGCGGAAGGAUCAUUAACACUUUUUCUUUGUGAAAAAAGAAAUUUUUUCAGCAUGUGCGCACAGUAGGAACUCGUUUGCCAUAGAUCGACGCGUUAUGAUUGGAAGCUCGAAAGGGCUUGGCGCGCCGGUAAUUUGGCUGACGGGGAAUAAAACUCAGUCUCUAAUCAUGGCUGGAAUUUUUUUUUACUUGAUUUUCGAACUGAUUUUAGGCAACGAUCGAGACCCUCUCUCUCUCCAGAGCGGGCCUCUCUGCGCCUCUGAUGAAUUUUUCUUCUUAGAAAAAUCUCUUCAACAUUAAACACAACUCUUAACAGCGGAUAUCUCGGUUCUCGU